rnacentral:rRNA from 1 species
UACGUAGGGUGCAAGCGUUGUCCGGAAUUAUUGGGCGUAAAGAGCUCGUAGGCGGCCUGUCGCGUCGGCUGUGAAAACCCGGGGCUCAACCCCGGGCCUGCAGUCGAUACGGGCAGGCUAGAGUCCGGCAGGGGAGACUGGAAUUCCUGGUGUAGCGGUGAAAUGCGCAGAUAUCAGGAGGAACACCGGUGGCGAAGGCGGGUCUCUGGGCCGAUACUGACGCUGAGGAGCGAAAGCUAGGGGAGCGAACGGG